rnacentral:rRNA from 1 species
UACGUAGGGUGCAAGCGUUAAUCGGAAUUACUGGGCGUAAAGCGUGCGCAGGCGGUUUUGUAAGUUUGUCGUGAAAUCCCCGGGCUCAACCUGGGAAUGGCGAUGAAGACUGCAAGGCUAGAAUCUGGCAGAGGGGGGUAGAAUUCCACGUGUAGCAGUGAAAUGCGUAGAGACCCGGAGGAACACCAGUGGCGAAGGCAAUCCCCUGGGCCUGUACUGACGCUCAUGCACGAAAGCGUGGGGAGCAAACAGG